UAGUAAACGAAUAAGCCCACGGCUAACUACGUGCCAGCAGCCGCGGUAAUACGUAGGUGGCGAGCGUUGUCCGGAAUUAUUGGGCGUAAAGAGCAUGUAGGCGGUUUUUUAAGUCCGGAGUGAAAAUGCGGGGCUCAACCCCGUAUGGCUCUGGAUACUGGAAGACUUGAGUGCAGGAGAGGAAAGGGGAAUUCCCAGUGUAGCGGUGAAAUGCGUAGAUAUUGGGAGGAACACCAGUGGCGAAGGCGCCUUUCUGGACUGUGUCUGACGCUGAGAUGCGAAAGCCAGGGUAGCGAACGGGAUUAGAUACCCCGGUAGUCCUGGCCGUAAACGAUGGGUACUAGGUGUAGGAGGUAUCGACCCCUUCUGUGCCGGAGUUAACGCAAUAAGUACCCCGCCUGGGGAGUACGUCCGCAAGGAUGAAACUCAAAGGAAUUACGGGGGGCCCG
rnacentral:rRNA from 1 species